ensembl:misc_RNA Telomerase-vert Vertebrate telomerase RNA
UGAGCAAAGCCGAGGCUUCUAAAAGCCUGCACUCUCACCACACCACCAGGUUCAUGUUUCUACUGUGCCACUAUCUCUGCCCUCUCUGGUCAGGGAACAGAGGCUGCUUCCUUGGUUUCUUGAAGCCUCCCUAUCUGUCUUUGAGACUUGUGAAUUUCUGCCCAGCAGCCAGGGUGGAGCCCCAGCAGCACCACAAGCACAGAAAUGGAGCUGGUCCCGUGAUCAGUGACUUCCCUGAGCUGUGGGAAAUGCACCAGGAACUCGGUUCCCAAAAAU